CCUCCUCCUCCUCCUCGGGCUCCCCCGGCGGCGCCGUGCCCGGCAGCCCCACGCUGGGCGGCUCGGCGGAGCCCGGGGACCCGCUGAGCCUCUACGAGGAGGGGGGCGGCGGCGCGGGCCGGCCCGACGGCGACUGCGGCGCCCCCUGCCCCUCGCCUCCGGGGUCGGGGUCGGGCUCGGGCUCGCCCGCCGACCACCGCAGCUACACCAGCCUGCGGGCCUCGUCGCCGGCCCCCUCGACGGCGCGGUCCUCCUCCGCGUCCUCCCACUCGUCCUCCUCCUCCUCGUCCUCUUCCUCCUCCUCCGGCUCCUCUUCGUCGGACGACGAGUUCGAGGACGACCUCUUGGACCUCAACCCGAGCCCCAGCUUCGAGAGCAUGUCCCUGGGCAGCUUCGGCUCCUCCGUGCUCGACCGGGACCUGGAUUUUAACUUCGAGCCCGGCUCGGGCUCGCACUUCGAGUUCCCGGACUACUGCACGCCGGAGGUAAGUGAGAUGAUCUCGGGGGACUGGCUGGAGUCCAGCAUCUCCAACCUGGUCUUCACCUACUGAGCUCCGCGGCCGGCCCGAGCUGGAGAAGGCGCAGACGCGGUGCCGGGAGGACUCGCCCGCCCCGUCGGGGCUCUCGGGGGGCUUUUUUGGCCGGGCAGGGGCCGGGGACACUGCUGCUGAUGGGCGCACACCCCCUGCGAGGGACAAGCCCGGCCCUGCUUCUCCAGAGACUGGCGGCGGCGAAACGCUACCUUUUUCCUUUCUUUUGUUUUGUCCCGAAAAGAGAGACGAGAGGGGGGGGACAGAUGGGGGACCGCAGACACCUCUGGGGCCUUUGUUAUCGCCCGCUUGGUGCGAAAGAGGAGGGGAGCGAUGCCUUGUGCUGGAUGUCUCGACUGUUUCGCCCUUUCCCGCGAAAGAGCGAGAGGAACUGCUUGAAAAAAAAAAAGAAAAAGACACACACAAAAGUCCACCCGAGCCUUUGCAAGGUUCACAUUUUGGGGGGGGGGGGAGAAAUCCCGUCCCGGUUUUUCUUGUGGGGGGUGGGGAGGCAGAGGUUCCAGAAUAUGCAGCGCAGUACAUGGCUGUGCUGGGCGAGAAACCCGAUAGAAAUGCUGGCUCAGGCUAGAGCUAAGGCUGGAUACUGUAACAUUCAUUUAACCUUAUAAAAGCCUGUCCAGCAUCCAGUUACCUAAAGAAGGCAUACGUAAGCAGUCAUGGAAAAGCUCAAAUCUACUUGCAUUCAGAACCCAAGUAAUCCAAUAUUAGUAGCACAGCCAAAUGUUUACAAGUAUGUAUGCUUGUAAUUAGCUAAGUAAUUUCAUCCAUCUCUGCCCUCGAGAGAAGCAUUAGAACUGGGCCUAUAGUGGAAAGCAAAUUUCAAUUGUAAUUAUGGAAUGGUUAGUAUGACUCUGUAAUCCUUUUUCCAAAAUAAUUCCCCAGUGUCUCAGAGGAGGUGAAUCUGUGGCACCACUACUACAGCUGUGAGCCUGUGCUCUGCUCUUAGAUACUCCCGUAUCUGGGAUGAGUAACCAAGUUAGUACCAUCUCUUUUUGUAGCACCAGAAGAUGAUACUAACAUUAUUAUUAUUAUUUUUUGGGGCACCACCAUCAUCCAAUGUUAAUGAGCAGUUGAAUAAGUGUUUGAAGCUGCUGUUACAGUGCCUUAGGAAGCCUGCAAGGUCUCAGACCUUGAGGGUCAAUGGAGUUUGACUUGAACAGCUUAGGGAGGCAUGGUGAAGAGACGAGGGCUUCACAUUGGAAAUUUUGACCUCAAAAUGCUUAAAUCUUUUCCAUUGCUUAGCACUGAUACGGUAUGGGAGCAAGACAGUGCCUUUGGUAUGUGGCAGAGAAUGUCUGAAGCUUUGAAGGGUACCUAUCAGCACAUCUCAGAAAUGGUAAACUAAAUAACUGUGUGUGUGCUUGCAAAUUGUGUGGUUGUGUCCCAGUAAAGCAAAUCGCUGGAGCUGGGACACCAGAAAUGUGCUUAUGUUGAUCUUAUUAUGAAACGUGAGUAAAUAACCAACAUGUUCUAUCAUCUCAUAGUCUAGGUGAUGUCUUAUCUUUUUAACUUUCCUUCUAAACUCAGAAUUUCAAAACUGAGAAAUGGCAGCUUUGCAGCAGGUGCAGCCAGUGGAAGAUGGGGAGCCUUCUUCUACCUUCUUUCAAA
rnacentral:lncRNA from 1 species